UUGUAGCAGAAUUCCGAUACAACGCAAUCUCGUCCUCGCCUUUUACUAGGACGAGCCUUGUGCGGUCUUCACUCAAAUGCUGCAAACCAAUCUUUGGACUCACAGCUCACUCCGUGAG
rnacentral:snRNA from 1 species